rnacentral:rRNA from 1 species
AACGAACGCUGGCGGCAUGCCUAACACAUGCAAGUCGAACGAGACCUUCGGGUCUAGUGGCGCACGGGUGCGUAACGCGUGGGAACCUGCCUUUAGGUUCGGAAUAACUCAGAGAAAUUUGAGCUAAUACCGGAUGAUGUCUUCGGACCAAAGAUUUAUCGCCUUUAGAUGGGCCCGCGUUGGAUUAGCUAGUUGGUGGGGUAAAGGCCUACCAAGGCGACGAUCCAUAGCUGGUCUGAGAGGAUGAUCAGCCACACUGGGACUGAGACACGGCCCAGACUCCUACGGGAGGCAGCAGUGGGGAAUAUUGGACAAUGGGCGAAAGCCUGAUCCAGCAAUGCCGCGUGAGUGAUGAAGGCCUUAGGUUUGUAAAGCUCUUUUACCCGAGAUGAUAAUGACAGUAUCGGGAGAAUAAGCUCCGGCUAACUCCGUG